rnacentral:lncRNA from 1 species
AGACACCAAGGAGAGGCCAACAGAUGAGGGGAGCCAUUUUUCUGCAAUGGAAUUAAAUGGCCAAGCUAAAGGAUUCACAAUUGGAAGAAUGAAGAAGACUUUUUAAAAAGAUCUGGAUUUUUCCUUAUGACUUGGAAUCCAUCUUUGUCUUGUAUAACUAGGUCAUAGCACACCAUUAAUGUCAGCAGUUAACAAUUUUGAAUUCCAAAAAACCUAAAGCAGUAAACAGUCCUCAGCGAAGCCGCCUUUUGCCAACCCAACCCUGGAAAGUUUGCAGAAGUGGAAGGAGCAGAAAAUGCCAUGAGAGUGUAACUUUAAAAAGGCGAGAGAAAGGUCUCUCUAGCGACCUCGGACAUCCAUGGAGCCGCCUGCGCUCGUCCCCCUCGCUUUUCUAGGCUCACGACCGGAGAAGAGGUAUCCCCAACGUUGACCGUCUUUUUUCGGACAGCAGAAACAGGUCCAGUUUGACUCUGACAAUCUUCCCGCUAAGGAAUUCCUGGUGAAUAGAGGAAUGACACCGGUCCUCAGAACAUCUCGCAGCCACUCCCUGAGCUUCGGGGUCCCUGAUGCGGGGCAAGCCUGAGGCAGCCAAAGGGAAGAGGCUUGUGCCUGGCUCAAAGCUUCCAGCUGCCACUGUGCACCCCAGCCCUGUCCCAGCCUCACCAGCCAAUCACAGCUCCUCCCUGGUCAUGGGAAAAGCUUUGUCUGGGCUCCUCUCCUGUUAAGAGCCUCUGUCCAGCACCCCUCUUGAGCCUGGCAACCAGGCCUCCACGAUCUAACCCUGGUUACUAACUUGACAAUCAUGUCUGGCCUCCCUCACUCCCCAGCCACUGCCAAACCUGAUAUGAUGUCUAGCCACCAUACACUUACCCAGGCUGGGUACCCAUCCUACUUCUGCUGGCCUUUCCUGCCAGCACUGACAAGCUUGGUUCAUGUGCUGCCUGCCUCUCAACCUUCUCUGAACCCUAGAGGCUCUGGUGUCUAAAUUGUUCACAUCUCAGAACGCUUCCCCCAAGACUGAGUUCCUCAGAGGCAGGAACACAAUUCCCUCUCAAUAAACUUGUGCU